CAGCCGCCGCGGUAAUACGAGGGGGGCAAGCGUUGUUCGGAAUUAUUGGGCGUAAAGGGUGCGUAGGCGGUUUGGCAAGUUUGGUGUGAAAUCUUCGGGCUCAACUCGAAGUCUGCAUCGAAAACUGCCGGGCUUGAGUAUGGGAGAGGUGAGUGGAAUUUCCGGUGUAGCGGUGAAAUGCGUAGAUAUCGGAAGGAACACCUGUGGCGAAAGCGGCUCACUGGACCAUAACUGACGCUGAUGCACGAAAGCUAGGGGAGCAAACAGGAUUAGAGACCCCCGUAGUCCCUGUCUCUUAUAC
rnacentral:rRNA from 1 species